rnacentral:snRNA from 1 species
GGAUGUGAGGGCGAUCUGGCUGCGACAUCUGUCACCCCAUUGAUCGCCAGGGUUGAUUCGGCUGAUCUGGCUGGCUAGGCGGGUGUCCCCUUCCUCCCUCACCGCUCCAUGUGCGUCCCUCCCGAAGCUGCGCGCUCGGUCGAAGAGGACGACCAUCCCCAAUAGAGGAGGACCGUUCUUCGGUCAAGGGUAUACGAGUAGCUGCGCUCCCCUGCUAGAACCUCCAAACAAGCUCUCGAGAAUGCUAUAGCCCAAGGAGUCUAUCCUGUCUUAUGGCCAUUCUCCAGGGGUGGAGAAUGGGAGACAUU